UGCAGUCGAACGGAAAGGCCCCUUCGGGGGUACUCGAGUGGCGAACGGGUGAGUAACACGUGGGUAAUCUGCCCUGCACUUCGGGAUAAGCCUGGGAAACUGGGUCUAAUACCGGAUAGGACCACUUGGCGCAUGCCUUGUGGUGGAAAGCUUUUGCGGUGUGGGAUGGGCCCGCGGCCUAUCAGCUUGUUGGUGGGGUGACGGCCUACCAAGGCGACGACGGGUAGCCGGCCUGAGAGGGUGUCCGGCCACACUGGGACUGAGAUACGGCCCAGACUCCUACGGGAGGCAGCAGUGGGGAAUAUUGCACAAUGGGCGCAAGCCUGAUGCAGCGACGCCGCGUGGGGGAUGACGGCCUUCGGGUUGUAAACCUCUUUCAGCAGGGACGAAGCGCAAGUGACGGUACCUGCAGAAGAAGCACCGGCCAACUACGUGCCAGCAGCCGCGGUAAUACGUAGGGUGCGAGCGUUGUCCGGAAUUACUGGGCGUAAAGAGCUCGUAGGUGGUUUGUCGCGUUGUUCGUGAAAACCGGGGGCUUAACCCUCGGCGUGCGGGCGAUACGGGCAGACUGGAGUACUGCAGGGGAGACUGGAAUUCCUGGUGUAGCGGUGGAAUGCGCAGAUAUCAGGAGGAACACCGGUGGCGAAGGCGGGUCUCUGGGCAGUAACUGACGCUGAGGAGCGAAAGCGUGGGGAGCGAACAGGAUUAGAUACCCUGGUAGUCCACGCCGUAAACGGUGGGUACUAGGUGUGGGUUUCCUUCCUUGGAAUCCGUGCCGUAGCUAACGCAUUAAGUACCCCGCCUGGGGGAGUACGGCCGCAAGGCUAAAACUCAAAGGAAUUGACGGGGGCCCGCACAAGCGGCGGAGCAUGUGGAUUAAUUCGAUGCAACGCGAAGAACCUUACCUGGGUUUGACAUGCACAGGACGCCGGCAGAGAUGUCGUCCUG
rnacentral:rRNA from 1 species